rnacentral:sRNA from 1 species
GUGCCCCUUGUUUUCUUUGUGCUCUGGACUUGCUCACUUGCACUGCUUGCUUCUUCCCAAUCGCCGCCGCCCCCCUGUGCUUCAGUUUUGAGUAUCCGAGGAGCCCAGGAGGAGGAACCCACAGACCCCCAGCUGAUGCGGCUGGACAACAUGCUGUUAGCGGAAGGCGUGGCGGGGCCUGAGAAGGGCGGAGGGUCGGCGGCAGCGGCGGCAGCGGCGGCGGCUUCUGGAGGGGCAGGUUCAGACAACUCAGUGGAGCAUUCAGAUUACAGAGCCAAACUCUCACAGAUCAGACAAAUCUACCAUACGGAGCUGGAGAAAUACGAGCAGGCCUGCAACGAGUUCACCACCCAUGUGAUGAAUCUCCUGCGAGAGCAAAGCCGGACCAGGCCCAUCUCCCCAAAGGAGAUUGAGCGGAUGGUCAGCAUCAUCCAUCGCAAGUUCAGCUCCAUCCAGAUGCAGCUCAAGCAGAGCACGUGCGAGGCGGUGAUGAUCCUGCGUUCCCGAUUUCUGGAUGCGCGGCGGAAGAGACGGAAUUUCAACAAGCAAGCGACAGAAAUCCUGAAUGAAUAUUUCUAUUCCCAUCUCAGCAACCCUUACCCCAGUGAGGAAGCCAAAGAGGAGUUAGCCAAGAAGUGUGGCAUCACAGUCUCCCAGGUAUCAAACUGGUUUGGAAAUAAGCGAAUCCGGUACAAGAAGAACAUAGGUAAAUUUCAAGAGGAAGCCAAUAUUUAUGCUGCCAAAACAGCUGUCACUGCUACCAAUGUGUCAGCCCAUGGAAGCCAAGCUAACUCACCCUCAACUCCCAACUCAGCUGGUUCUUCCAGUUCUUUUAACAUGUCAAACUCUGGAGAUUUGUUCAUGAGCGUGCAGUCACUCAAUGGGGAUUCUUACCAAGGGGCCCAGGUUGGAGCCAACGUGCAAUCACAGGUGGAUACCCUUCGCCAUGUUAUCAGCCAGACAGGAGGAUACAGUGAUGGACUCGCAGCCAGUCAGAUGUACAGUCCGCAGGGCAUCAGUGCUAAUGGAGGUUGGCAGGAUGCUACCACCCCUUCAUCAGUGACCUCCCCUACAGAAGGCCCUGGCAGUGUUCACUCUGAUACCUCCAACUGAUCUCCCAGCAAUCGCAUCCCGGCUGACCCUGUGCCCCAGUUGGGGCAGGGGCAGGAGGGAGGGUUUCUCUCCCAACGCUGAAGCGGUCAGACUGGAGGUCGAAGCAAUCAGCAAACACAAUAAGAGUCUCCUUCUCUUCUCUUCUUUGGGAUGCUAUUUCAGCCAAUCUGGACACUUCUUUAUACUCUCUUCCCUUUUUUUUCUGGGUAGAAGCCACCCUUCCCUGCCUCCAGCUGUCAGCCUGGUUUUCGUCAUCUUCCCUGCCCCUGUGCCUCUGUCCUAGACUCCCGGGGUCCCUGCCCUCUCUCAUAUCACUGAAGGAUAUUUUCAACAAUUAGAGGAAUUUAAAGAGGAAAAAAACUACAAAGAAAAUAAUAAAAGUGUUUGUACGUUUUCAUGCUGGUGGUUUGAGGAGCCAAAUUUAC